UGAUAGGAUACUUUAUUGAUCAGCAAGGGGACAUUGCAUAAGGGGAAAAUGGAGAGAGGACAACUGAAAGUGAAGAGAGAUGUACUGUCCAUUCUGCAGAUCCUCUGUGACAGCCCCCCCGGCUUUUGAUUUAUGUUGGAGUUAUGAGGAUGACCGGUGACUCCCUCAAACCUGUGAGAGGGAAGUCACUUCCCCUUGAUAUUCAACCUCAAAGGUCAUCUGAACAACUGUUGACUGCUGCUGUAAAUAAGCAGAAAGAUUUUAA